UAUAUUUAUCUGUAUUACACAUCCACUGAUAGGUGCCUAGGCUGGCUCUUUGUAUCUCGACCAUCAUGAGCAGUGCUGCAGCACUCACAGGAGAACAUGGGUGCCUCUGGUCUACUCAGCGUGGGGAAUGCCAGGCGCUGGUAGCUCCGUGUCUUGUCUUCUGAGCUACAAAUAAUCUGCUUUCAGAAGGAAGGAGUUAUGUUCCCAAGGAGGGAGACGAGGACAGGGACUGCGGUCCUAACAGGCUGAGCAGACAUCAGAGCUUCCUAGGCUCAUCUAGCCGUGGUCAUCCCCACAGCUCUCUGGCUGACAAGCUUCAGCAGAGGAUCACUGAUAGAGUUACGAUUCUUUUUGUUGAUAGGGUAUGCUCUAUAGCCCAGAAUGGCCUUCAACUCACACUACUUCCUUGGUCUCCCAAAUGCUGUGACUAUAGGCCUGCGAUGUUGGUUUCUUUGGCAUAUUGCUAAUAUAACAUGCUAACUUCAGAGAACACUGGGAAAAAACUAGGAACUACAUAUCAUCUUUGAAAACUUUUUAACUUAAAUCUAUAAUUAUCUAAUAGUUUUAUUUGUCUUCAAAGAAACAAAGUGUUAAGCAGAACGAAAGCGAGGACAAUCUUUACAAAGCAACCUGGAUUGGGUUCUCUGAAGAUCAGCUAAGGGAGAGCAGAGAAUGCUUACCCGACACUUUAAACACAGAUCUGACACUGUGUAGUGAAAAAGCCCACCAUGUACUGGAGAAUAUCAAUCCCAAAUCACCAAUCAUAUUGUUCAGUAAAAUUAUAGGAUUUAAAUACUCACUCCUUUCAUAUCAAAAGAUUGCAUGCCUAGUAAGGCAAAGAAAUAAGAUGACCACAAAACUGUUUUUGCAGCAAUACCUGGGCCAGAAAAGCUACAGAUUUAAAAUACUCAACAAAAGGUGAGCCAAAGACUUAAUUUCCAGCAAAAAUGAGCACCACAUAUAAAGAGCACAGAUGAUUUCCUUCACAGAAGCAGGAAAAUCCAUAGAGCAUUUUCCAUAAAGUCCUGAAGACUCCAUGGAAGAAAUGUAAAGAAACUAUAAUGUAGAAAGAAAUCUUCAUGAAGACUGGUGGUGAAUACUAACCAUACAGUUGGUGCAGCCCAAGGUCAGGGUUGGGGGGCAGGAUAUGGUAACUGUGUGUUAAGAACAUAUAAGACAACUAUGGCUAUUAGGAAGAAUGUAAAUAUAAAUAAAAAUAACAAAAACUCUUGUAAAGUUGUUUUAAACUAUCAGAUUGGUAGCAUGAGUGUUAUUAUUCCUAGAUUAUUAUAUGUGGAAUCCAGAAUUAAAGGACAUAAGUAUUUAAGGACAGAUUAAUUCUAUCAAACCUUUAGUAUAAGAAAAGAGGACAGAGAUGUAUUACAGAAGAAAUAUAUAACCCACUUCAAACUGAUCUUAAAUCUGACUUGGGAACAUUAGUUUAAGUUUGUGAGGCAUUUACCUUAUAUUUUAUCUUUAUGUUUCCCCAUCUGUCCACUAAAAAAAUGAGUUUAGUAACAACUCAGUGCCUACAUGGCAGUCUUGUUACAAAGGCAAGUGUCUAAUGAGAAUGCUUCCCAUAACUGGCUAAUUUCAGUCCCAUAAAGUAGGAGAUAUAAAAUCACACAGGCAUCGUAACCUGCAAGCUAGCAAGAAGCAAGCAGAGACAAUUACAAUUAUGUCAAGAGGACCCAGGAACAAGUUCCUACUGGCUAAACAGAAGGCCUGAAUUAGCAUAAGAUAAAAUUGCAAUAGACCAAAACCUAUAAAUUUAAAUCUGAGAGAAUGUAAUAACCAGCUAGUUAUCUCAUCUGAAUCAAUGAAUGUGGAAAACAGAUAAGGGAUUAUCUUGCCUUUCCCACUAGAACUUUAUCUCCUAAGAAGAAUGAGCACAGGUCCCAGUGAGAGACCUUGUCUCAAAUAAACAAGGGUGGAGGGCUCCUGAGGACACCCAAGGCUGACCUCUGACCUAAACACACACACACACACACACACACACACACACACACACACACACACAGAGUGUGUGCACCACCUCCCCACGCCUCAACAAAUUAUUCUGAAAAGACAACUACUCUAACAUUUGAAAAGCCUAAUGAAUAUAUGUAUCUAGAUACUGAUCAGUCAACAGCUGCUAAGAGAGCAAAGCCCAGACAUUAUGACUUUCAUGGUGAAAGAACCUAACCACCUUCUACAGUGUUGACUAAGGAUGAAAACUCAGAUCACGCCAGCCAUCCUGUUGCCGUCUGCAGAAAAUGCGGAGGACAGAGGAACACUAUGAACUACCAGACACUGUCCAACUCCACGGGACCUAUGGUCAAUACACAAGUGAAAGGGGAAAGACAGGAGAUGUAUCAAGCUUUAAAAGGGCAAGGUUCCCAUCUGGAUAAUAAAACUACAAGGAAACC
ensembl:antisense 4930565N06Rik RIKEN cDNA 4930565N06 gene